CCUACGGGAGGCAGCAGUGGGGAAUAUUGCACAAUGGGGGGAACCCUGAUGCAGCGACGCCGCGUGGGUGAAGGAGUAUUUCGGUAUGUAAAGCCCUAUCAGCAGGGAAGAACAAUGACGGUACCUGACUAAGAAGCACCGGCUAAAUACGUGCCAGCAGCCGCGGUAAUACGUAUGGUGCAAGCGUUAUCCGGAUUUACUGGGUGUAAAGGGAGCGCAGGCGGCGCGUUAAGCCUGGUGUGAAAGUCCGCGGCCCAACCGCGGGACUGCAUUGGGAACUGGCGCGCUGGAGUGCCGGAGGGGUAGGCGGAAGUCCUAGUGUAGCGGUGAAAUGCGUAGAUAUUAGGAGGAACACCAGUGGCGAAGGCGGCCUACUGGACGGUGACUGACGCUGAGGCUCGAAAGCGUGGGGAGCAAACAGGAUUAGAUACCCGUGUAGUC
rnacentral:rRNA from 1 species